rnacentral:lncRNA from 1 species
CUUGUUGCUGUACUUUUCUGAACCCCUACUACUGUUGUUUCCCUCAUUAUCUUUCUCUGAAUUUUCUGUAAGCUGAGAUGUGUAAUGCUUUGUAAUGUUCAGAUUUGAGUAGUGCUUGACACUUGUUCAGUUUCAGACUUGUCCUUGAUUAAUAGUACUUGUGUUGUUCAUCUCAGAGUACUAGAAUUAUGUCUUGUAACCUCCCCCUAUUUGCAUAUGUGUGAUGUGUGUUCUGUAGUGUUUUUGUUAACUUUGUUCAUGUGAAAACAUAUAUGUUUGUGUUGUGAUAUAUUUUUGUCCCUAUCAUAUUAGCUUGUUUCUUUCCUUCUGUCAUUGCUAGUUAUAUAUGUGUGAGUGUUUGUGUUGUGAGAGUUGUACUGUUACAUUGUGAUUCUCAUUUAAAAUGUAAGAGUACUAGCUAUAUACUCCCUCCAUUCCUAAAUAUAGGGUGUAUAGUUUUUGGCACGGAAUUAAAGAACGCACGUGGAGGGAAAAUUUCACAAGUUCUGGGCGAGAUUACACCUGACUAAUUGACAUGAAUAAAAAGAGAAAUGUAAUCAAAUCCCUAAAAAAUUAAUCCAAACGAGUGGUGCAACGCAAUGCACCUUAUAUUUCGGAUUUUUUCUCAGAAAUCUAUACACCUUAUAUCAAGGAACGGAGGGAGUAUGUCAUAUAUAUUCUAUUCAUGUAUGAUAGUUAUGUGUUCUUGUCUAGUAGGUUUCCCUAAUAUUGAUUCUCGUUUGUGUUAGUGUUUUAAUCCCUCAAGCCUAAUAAAAAUACCAAAAAGACAAUGAGUAAAAUCUGAAUUUCCCCUUGCUGUUUACCCUUUCUUUGUCGUCAACCUUAGCUAGUUUAGGUUAUUAUUUUCUUGGAAUCCUCUCUUAAAAUUUUGUCACCUAGCUUUAGCUGAGCAUUGCUGCUGUCGCCUAGUCCCUGUGGAGAACACGACAUCCGUAGUUUGGGGCGUAAAAAACCCUGCUAUAUUACAACUGAUCAUUUUGGCGCCGUUGUCGAGGACCAGCGUCGAGCGUUUGUGUGAGGCUUUAGACUAGGUUUAGCUUGUUUCCUUUUUGUGCUUUAUAUAUUUGUGAUAUAUCUCUAGCCACUAACCCCUGUUCUAGUUAGUAUCUUUUUGUCUUCUUUUCCUUUUUGCAGGUUGGAUUAUCCUCUCGGUUAUGGCUUACUAUUCAGAUCAUCAUGCUUAUGCGAGCAACACUACAAACAGCACGGAAAGUGUUCAAGAACUGAUAGGUAAGAUUUCCCAUCGAUUAGAUGAUUUAGCUCGGCAGCGAGAAGGAGUUUUUGAGGAUAGGCCUAGUUCUUACGAUCCUUAUUCCAGUGGCCAUCCUUAUGUUGCUCCUACUUGCCAUAUUUGUGGAUUUCAGGGCCAUUCACCCGCUGAAUGUCAGUGUGGCUACUCUCACACUCCGGAUUGUUUUGGCAUGAGCUUCGCUCAAGAGCAUAGCUCAUACCAAAACAAUUACUCACAUGGGUGGCCUGAAAUCCCGAAUAUGUCAUAUAGGAGCAACAACCCUGAGAUCUCACAGUUUGGUUCUAGUAAUCAUAUGCAGGGAUUUAGGUACAAUGAGGAGAGCCACAACUAUGCACCACAACAAUUCCAUUCAGCUCCUACUCAUAUACCACAGCACCAGGAGAUGUGUCCAAUGGAGUUAAAUGGUCCUCCAUUUGGUCAACCAACAACUCCAGCACCUGUUGUGCAAUCUCAUGUGCAAGUGCCCACACAAGAUGAGUUCGAUGACAUAGACAAGCUCACACUUUUGAGUCUCGAGUUCACUUGGAGUGCCGAGGAUGAUCCUAUUAGGAAGGUGAUACUUGAGGAAAUGAAGAAGAUUAAGAGUGGAAAAGAGCUAGUGGAAGAAGUAAGGAAGAUUGAGAAGAACAUCAACGCUGGCAGCACUAUUUCUUCACAGCUAGAGCUGAGUGUUGCUGAGAUAUCCAUUGAUACAUGUGAGGUACCAACACCUUCACAUUCAGCUGAGCAAGAUAGCGAGAGUCCAGAGGAAGAGAUACUUCAGAUCCAAGAAGAAAUUCUCGAAGCCAAGGCACAAGAUGAUCUAGAGCUCGAACAACAAAGUGAUCAAGUUGAAGACUCAUCAUCUACUACUCCUGAAGAAGUACAAGAAGCUGUUGUAGAUGAAGAUGAAGAACAUGAGAUUCAUUUGCCUAUUGUCAUACCAGAGCGUGAUGUGUCAGGUUUACUCAAUCCUCUUGAUGACAUUAUGCCUUGUGAUUUCUUUGCUACUACCUUGCAUUACAUGAUACCAUCACUUAAGAUUGAUUUGAAAACUCAUUUGCUUGGAUAUGAUGAUAUAUACCCUGUUAGUGGCAUUACUCUCAUUUGUGAUGACCAUAGUUACUUUCCUCGCGCUAAUCCUAUGCUUAAUGAAACAUAUCACUCCCAUGCUAGUCUUGAGCUUAAUGAUAAAUAUCAUCCUCAUGUUAGUGUUGACCUUGCUGAUUUCUACCAUCCUAAACAUGUGCUUUAUAGCUAUGCUUAUGUAAUUGGAUACUCUAUCGAUGACUAAGAGGGCAUUCUCUCUGUCACUUGUAUUGGCUUGGUUGUUGAGUGUUCUUUCAGGUUGAUGCUUGUGUACCAUUUACUACGAGUUGACCGAGUUCGAGAUGACAUUCCCUGGGAUCCUGGUGGACUCAGAGCAUGGGGAUGAGGAGAAGCAAGGGGGCACACACGAGGAAGGGAGAAGCUGGAGUAGGCAUGAGGAUAGAGAAGCAAAAGGAGAGGAGCUGCAGUUGGUGAGGUGAUCGAGCGAGUGCUACUUCCUAUGAAAACCCGGUGAGCUGUUUCAUGACCCAUUCCUAGUAUAUCAUCCAUUGAUACAUGCUGAAAUCAAAUGUUAUUUGGGUUGCUUAAGCCAUGUCUUAAAUGUUGCCCCACUGAAUUUUACUUGAAAUAUGGUGCUUGAUGAGAAUAUGUGAACUGAGCGUUGAAUGCCUGGUAAACUAGUGAUCUAUACAAUGCUUGCUUUGCUGAAAGUAGUGGAAGUUAUUAGUUUUGAGUGCUCAAAUCCCUAGUAUACUAGAAAACUUAAUCAUUUUCUGCUUUUACCUCGAUACACCUAGAUCACCACGUUUAGAUUCUGAAUUUGUGCUAAGUGUGUUCCCAUUGAGAGCAAUCACCUAACCACUAUGGAUUAGCAUGCUAUGUUCCCUGGAUCGGUAGCAUGUGAACCAGACAUGGAGAAGUGAUGAUUCCUGUUUUUGUGCUUAUGUGUUGUUCAUUUAAGAUAAGUAAUAUUGAAUAAAUAAGUCUGACUACCUACAGUAGCAUGUCAUGUUCCCGGGAUCGGUGGCAUGUGAAAUCGGGUUAGCUUGGGCAGUAAUUAAUAAUAAAAAAAUGUAAUUGUCGAACCAGGUGUAUACCAUGUUCUCGGGAUCGGUGGUAUGUUCCUUUGGGGAGACAAACAAAAAAACUAAUAAUUGGUCGAGCCAGGUGUAUACCAUGUUCUCGGGAUCGGUGGUAUGUUCCUAUGGUGAGACUAAUAAUAAUAUAAUCAUUGCUUUAUCUCUGUAAAUAAGUGAUUUGAUCACAAGAUUUAAUUCCAGUUCAUUUUGUUCUUGGGAUCAUGCUCUCUUUAGGAACCAUUUGGCGCAGUCAUCAUUUAAACUUGUUGAUCCUCUUUUAUCUCUGUAAAAGUUUAAAAUGGUCAUGCUUACUAGUAUCCUACUGCUUUGUAGCACUCCUAACCAUUAAUUUUCACUAGCUAAGUCUGAAGCAUGCCUUGUUUGGAGAUCUAUUUUACCAGGACAUUCCUUACUCAGUUUACUGUUCAUUAUCUUGCCUUUAUCAUAUUCCUUUGCUUGAGGACAAGCAAAGAUUUAAGUGUGGGGGAACUUGAUAAGUGCAUUUCAUAUAUAUAAUUUGGCACUCAAAUUUAGCAUCUAUCGUGAUAUAUCCAUCCAUUCUUGCUAUGAGUUGUGAUAUAUUUGAAUGAAAAUCAUAUAAAAGAUCAUUUACUUGUCAUUUGUUUCUUUUGCAGAAAAGUGCGCAAGGCACUAUAAUCGUCAAGAUUUUUACUAUGUGGCUAACGAGACGAGAGAAGGGCUUGUGUGUGACGACAAGAAGUAACCAAAGGGGCUAACUAUAGAAGAGAGGGGAUCUACUUGGGAAGGAAGAAGAUAGUAGGAGGGCCCAUGUGCAAACAUCAAAAUCUGCUGUGAGGGGAUCAAACUCCCUAGGUCACUACACAAUUCCCCUCGGGCCUGGCUACACAUCUCUCUUCUCCCCCACCUCUCCUUCUCCAACUCCGGCCGCCGCCACGUCCAGGCCAGCGUGGUGGUGCGCCUUCGCAGCACAUCCAUCCACCAGCACCACCAUCACACGACCACUCCACAACCAGCGCCACCCAGCCACCCAUGCUCACCAUCUCCAUCACCCGCCGCUGCAUCAUCACCAAUCAGCCACUGCUGCACCAUCACCAGCACCUCCAUACACCACCAUCCAUCAGCGCCACCAUCUACAGCUACCGCUGCAUCUCGCGUGCUCGACCAGACAAGAGGGUCACGGGCAUCUGGUCCUCCGCGUUAGCGCCCCCGUGAUGUUGAUGUUCUUCUCCUUUCCCCCCUGCUGCUUCUUCCCUUCACGCUGCUGCUGCUGCCUUCCUUGCACCCCCUUGCUGCUGCUACGAUCUGAACCCUCCUUGCUUUUGCUCUUCCCUCGUCCUAGCCUGCUGCUCUCUCAAUCUCUGCUGCUGCUAUUCUCUAAGCCCCCCACGCUGCUGCUGUUCCUCUUCUUUCCCACGUCUCUCCUGCUUUCUUCUCCCCAAAACUGCUGCUAUACCUUCUCCCUAAUUCCCCUCUUCUCCUAACCUCGUUGUUGUACUUUUCUGAACCCCUACUACUCCUGUUUCCCUCAUUAUCUUUCUCUGAAUUUUCUGUAAGCUGAGAUGUGUAAUGCUUUGUAAUGUUCAGAUUUGAGUAGUGCUUGACACUUGUUCAGUUUCAGACUUGUCCUUGAUUAAUAGUACUUGUGUUGUUCAUCUCAGAGUACUAGAAUUAUGUCUUGUAACCUCCCCCUGUUUGCAUAUGUGUGAUGUGUGUUCUGUAGUGUUUUUGUUAACUUUGUUCAUGUGAAAACAUAUAUGUUUGUGUUGUGAUAUAUUUUUGUCCCUAUCAUAUUAGCUUGUUUCUUUCCUUCUGUCAUUGCUAGUUAUAUAUGUGUGAGUGUUUGUGUUGUGAGAGUUGUA